CAGUCGCCGCGGUAAUACGUAGGUCCCGAGCGUUGUCCGGAUUUAUUGGGCGUAAAGCGAGCGCAGGCGGUUAGAUAAGACUGAAGUUAAAGGCUGUGGCUUAACCAUAGUACGCUUUGGAAACUGUUUAACUUGAGUGCAAGAGGGGAGAGUGGAAUUCCAUGUGAAGCGGUGAAAUGCGUAGAUAUAUGGAGGAACACCGGUGGCGAAAGCGGCUCUCUGGCUUGUAACUGACGCUGAGGCUCGAAAGCGUGGGGAGCAAACAGGAUUAGAUACCCCGGUAGUCCCUGUCUCUUAUACC
rnacentral:rRNA from 1 species